rnacentral:rRNA from 2 species
CCACACGUACCCAUCCCGAACACGACCGUUAAGCCCUCCAGCGCCGAUGGUACUUGGACCGAAGGGUCCUGGGAGAGUAGGACGUUGCCAAGC